GGGUGCGAUCAUACCAGCACUAAUGCACCGGAUCCCAUCAGAACUCCGCAGUUAAGCGUGCUUGGGCGAGAGUAGUACUAGGAUGGUGACCUCCUGGGAAGUGCUCGUGUUGCACCCG
rnacentral:rRNA from 1 species